rnacentral:rRNA from 1 species
UCAUAUAUGAAUAUGAUGUUAGUUCAGAACCAAUGCUAUAUAGGGGCCUAACACAUGCGAAUAGUAUUAUAUUAUAAGAUUUAAUAUAUGAAAUCUGAAACUUUAAUUAAUAUUUUAAUAUUUAAUUAAAAAUACAAUAUAAUACUGUGUAAGGGUGAGUAAACUGGGGUAUAUAGAUACCUUUAUAAAUGUAGGUAGUAGUUUUAAUAAAAAUAAUAAAAAUUUAUAAAAAUUUAUAAAAAUAAUAAAAAUAAUAAAAAAGACUAGCCAAUGACUUAUAAUUGGGGAUGGAGGUCCUAACGAUCACAUUGAUGUAAUGUCAACUACUAUUAGUGGCAGCAGUGGGGAAUUUUUGACAAUGACCGGAAGGUUGAUCAUGUUACCUAUAAGAAAUAUCAUUUUUAUUUUAAUAUUUAAAUAUAAAAUAUUGAAUAAUAUAUUGAAUAUUAUCUCCACCCGCGUAGCAAUAGCUACGCGGGCGUGUAGUAUGUUAUUAUAAAUAAUAAUAUUAUUAUUAAUAUUCUUAUUCCCCCGGCUUUGCCGGGGGGCCCAGGCCCGCGGCUACGCCGCGGGCCUAUUAAAAUUUUUAUAAUAUUUAUUAUUAUUUUAAUAUUACAUAUUAAUAAAUAAAAAAUUUCAACUAUUUUAUAAAACAUAAUGAGUCAUAUAAAAUACAUAGUCCUGACUCAGUGAUGUGCCAGCCGUCGCGGUCAUACAUCCAGGGCUAGCAUUGUUCUACAUUGGCUUAAAGGAUUCGUAGGCUUAAAAAAAAAUGUUUAUUUUAUAAAAAAUAUAAAUUAAUUUAAUACGUAAUUAAUUUAUAAAAAUAAAACAUUAAUGGAAUAUAGAAAAGGUAUAAUGAACUAGAUAAGUAGAGUUAAAAUUCGUUGAUAAAUCUAUGACAGCUAAAGUACUAAUAUAUAUAUUGACGCUGAGGAGUGUAGGCUGUGGUAUCAACAGGGAUUAGUCACCCCUUUAGUCACAGCUGUUAACGAUGUAUACCAAAUAAGUAAAGAUAAAUUGAUAAGUAUACCGCCAGAUUAGUAAGCUCGCAAGGGUGAAAUGUAAGACAUUAGACGGUUGGGUACAAUAGCAGUGGAGUAUACCAUUUAAUUGGAUAAUCCGCCAAAAAUCUUACCUACUCUUGAAUUUUUAUAUAAUAUUAUGUUUAUUAUUAGAUUUUAUAUUAAAAAUUUUAAUUAUUUAAAAUAAUUUUAAUUAUUUAAUAUAAUUUUUAUAAUAAAAAAAAAUAUAAUUCCCCCGGCCGCUACGCGGCCGGGCGGCCCACGCCCGCGGCAUAGCCGCGGGCGGGAAAUAAUUAUAUUAAUAAUAUAUUUUAUAUUAUGUAUAAAUUUAUGAUAAAUACCAUUAUAUAAUAUAUAAAUGUAUAUUAUAUGUUAUAUAAUAAUAAUAUAAAAUAUAAGAAAUAUAUCACCGGCCCGCGGUGUAUACCGCGGGCCAGGGUCAUUGCUUCGGGCCCCCGAUAUAUUUAUAUAUAAAUACAGGUGUUACAUUGUUGUCGUCAGUUCAUGCUCAAUGGUUUACUAUUUAGUUAGUUAAUGAACGAAAUCCCAUUGUUUAUUAAAAUCAAUAAUUUUUAUAAGGAUUUAUGUAUAUACCGGCGGUGAUUUUAAAUUAAUUAUUGCCGAUUUGGUUUAUCUUACAAUAAUUAUCUAUUUAAAAUUCCAGCAACUCUUUAAUAUAUUAUAUAUGAAGAGAUAUAUUCCCCCGGCCGCAAUGGGCCGGGGGCCCGCCAGCGCAUAUACAUUUCGCUGCUCGGUGUUAAAUUCUUAUUUAUAAUUAUUUUCUUUCAUAUAGAUUCUAUUUAUAAUAGAUAGAGAUUUUCUUAAACAUAUUAUGAUACUUAAUUUAGUAUCGGAAGUAGGGUCAACGACUAAUCAGCAUGACCCUUAUGUGUAGGGCUAUAAGUGUACUACGAUUCGCCCUUCUAAUUAUAUCUUAUUCUAAAAAGAAUUAGUAUAUAAAUGGGUGUUCUAUGAUAAAUAAUUUAUAUUUAUAUUUAUUUAUAAAUAUUAUUUAUAUCGUUUAUAAAAAAAAUAUAGAAAUUAAUCUAUAUCGAUAUAAUUAAGAUCAUUUAUCCCUCAAUUGAAUAAAUCUCUGCAACUCGAGGCUUUGAAAGAGGAAUUGCUAGUAAUUGUGGACAAGUGUGUCACAGUGAAAUAUCCUUACCCUUCGUACUAAUCACUCAUCAAUAGUCUAGUUGAUCUAAUAUUUACUAUUUCAUAUAUCAAUUAUUGAUUACAUAUAUAUUUGAUCAAUAUUAUAUAUUUGUUCAGGGACAAUAUUAUGGUCUGAAUAGUCUAUAAGUUGAAAUACAGUUCCGGUAGGUGAACCUGCUGGGGAGUGAUAAAUAAA